GACUAGCAGGGAGAGGGGGAAAAAAAGCAGGCAUUUGCCUUUUCUGUCAGCUGAGGUUGGACCGUGGGAGACUAUUACUGGAAGCUGUUGCUCUGUAUCUUUUCUUGGAGAAGGCUUUGUGAGAAGCUGGUAUGGUGUGAAGGAAAAGGCAUUGUUCGGAGGCUAAUUCAAGGGCACAAUCAUGGAGGAAAUGGACUUUGAGCGGCGCCGGGAGCUGAGGAGGCAGAAGCGCGAAGAGAUGCGCCUGGAGGCUGAACGGAUGGCGAGGAUUGACGAUGAUGAGGAGGAGGCGGCCCGCGAGAGGAGGCGCAGGGCGCGCCAGGAGAGGCUCAGGACCAGAGAGAGCGAGGAGCCCGGCAGCCAGCCAGACAGCGUGGUCAUGACCAAUAGUCACAGUGUGACAGAGACUGUGUCUGUGAGCAGCUCCUCUUAUGGGGGCGGCGGAGACGACGAGGACCAAGCCCUGCAGGACCGCAUGGCCAAACGCGAGGAGAGACGGCAGAGGCGCAUGCAGGAGGCACUGGAGCGGCAGAGGCAGCUGGACCCCACCGGCACGGACGGCAACGGCGGCGGCGGCAGCGGCGUCGCCAUGGAGAAGGAGGACGCAGAAGAGGAGAGGCCCUCCUCCUGGCGCAGGGGUCGUUACCGUGACAACGAGGACGAGGAGGAGAAGCCGAGCACCUACGGCUCCAGGAGGGAGGAGAAGGAGCGAGAGGAGCCGAGGGAGGUAGAGGAGGCUGCUCCCGAGGGGAGAGAGGAGGAGGAAGAGGAGGAGGAGGAGGAGGAGGAGGAGGGCGUGGAUGAAGAGGAGGUGGAGGAGGAGGAGGAGGAGGAGCAGAAAGUUGAAGUGGUGGAGGACAAACCGAGAAGGUCUUACCUGAGAGAACAGGCAUCAACCGAAGAGCCUAAAAUACAAAACCAGGACCUCGUUGAGGAACAAACACAUUCGGUAGUCAGUUCAAAUCAGGCCAAGUCAGCAAAUUCAGAGGCUGAGGAGGACGCGGCAGCGUCAGGGGAGGCUGAAGAGGUACCUGAGGAAGAUAAUGUAGAUAAUUCAGCCGAGAGCGAGACUUUGUUACUAAGAAAUGACACAGAAGAGGACUUUGAGGUAUCUGAGAUACUGCACUCAGAGGAUAAUGAGGUGAACGAGAGGGGCGGGGCCAGGGAGGAAAGGGAGGAUCAGCGGAAGCACAACGGAGGGCUGCACGACGAGGCGGCUCCCAAACAGCACAGGAAACCCGAGAGGACCCUCAGUCGCGGCAGCGUGCGUUCCCCCGAGGCGUCCGCGGGUGACGAGCAGGACGACGCCGCCCGCCUGGAGGCAGAGCGCAAGCUGGAGGAGCUGAAGCGCCGCCGCGACGACGCCGAGAGCGAGGAGUUCGAGAGGAUGAGGCAGAAGCAGCAGGAGGCCGAGGCCGAGCUGGAGGAGCUGAAGAGGAAGAGGGAGGAGAGGAGGAAGGUGCUGGAGGAGGAGGAGAGGCAGAAGAAGCAGGAGGAGGCGGAAAGGAAAGCCAAGGAGGAGGAGGAGAAGAGGAAGAUGAAGGAGGAGAUCGAAAGGAGGAGAGCAGAGGCAGCUGAGAAGAGGCAGAAGGUGGAGGACACCGUGGAUGGGGAGGGCAAACCCUUCAAGUGCGUCAGCCCGCGAGGCUCCUCUCUGAAGAUCGGAGAAAGAGCUGAGUUUCUGAACAAGUCAGCGCAGAAAAGCGCAGUGAAGGCGGCUCAUUCUCCCGUGGUGUCCAAGAUAGACAACAGGCUGGAGCAGUACACCUCAGCUGCUCAGAGAGAGAACAAGGAGUCUCGAUCCCCUCGCUCCGGAGCGGUGGAUCUGCCCAUGGUCACCGACAGCAUACGAAACAUCAAGAGCAUGUGGGAGAAGGGCAACGUGUUCACCUCCCCCGGCGGCGGCGGCGGCGGCACAUUCAAGGAAGCAGCUGUGAUGAAGACGGGCGUGGCAGGCCGCAUCAACGACUGGCUGAACAAAACCCCAGAGAGUGGCAAGACGUCAGGAGGAAGGCCAGCGGACCUGAAGCCUGUUGACGUCACCAACAAGAGGAGUCUAUGGGAAAACAAAGGCGCCUCUCCAACCAAGAACUCUCAUAGCUAGUUGACCUCACCGUUAAAUCUGGAAUAAGCCUGGAGAGGUGGCAGGCAGAGGGGAGACCAAAUCAGUCGCCAAUGGUAUGGGACACUAAUGCCUCGAAGGAGCCACUAAAGCUGGGGACCACGACAAUCCAAGACUCUUCCUUUGACUUAUUUCUUGAGAACCAAAUAAUGACCAUACUCCCGAGAGGGGACCCCAAGAGCACGGAGGGACAGGAGGGGACGCUGUCCGAGCACUGUACCGAGACAGCAUCAGAAUAUUUUUGUAGGGUCGCCACGUAUCGUGCCUUUGCACAAUUAUUUUUUUGUCUCUUUUAAAAAAAAAAAGUAAAUAAAAAAGUAACAAAAUGCUGUGAAAUUUGGAUAUUAGCAAUUACCAGGAAGACUAAACCAAUUAAAUUUAGAUUUAUCUUUUUGUACUCCGUGCCGAGUGGAUGAGUUUAAAGUUUCCACAUUCCAAAGAGAUGGGUGAAAUCAGUUCUCUCCCUCAUACAGAUUAUUUUCCAUCUCUCUCUCUCUUUUUUUUAUUUAUAUUUAAAGCAGAAGCUUCACACAUUGCUAUUUUAUUCAACGUUCACCUGUUCAGGAUAGAAAUAUAAGCACUUCUAGGAUUUAGCUGAUUUCACUUUUAUUAUGUCUUACCAAUAGUGCAGCAAUGGUCUGAGUAAUAUAUGUUAGCACAUGUGACGUUUUUUUUUUUUUUUUUUUGAAUAUCAUACUGUAUCAUAUAUAACAUCCAUAUACUCACAAUAAAAAAAGGUAUUUUUGCUUCUCUCUUUCCAUAUCUGAAACUAUUCACCAACAACAGGCAGUUCAUUUUGAAGGUGAUUGGAGUGUUGAAUAUCCAGAAGGCCAUUAUGACUUUUAUUAUCCUUUUUUUACUAUUAUUUAUGUUUUAAUGUCAUUUUCUAGCUGUUCUCUGUCGCUUUUGUACCUGUUCGAUCACUUUAAAAUCUUGAGACAUUCCUCUUAAAAGCAGGUGCACGUGGUGCCUUCGCUGCUUAAACGCUGUAGGUUUUAUAAUGUAGGCAAACCGACCUUUGUCUUUGUUUUUGUUUUUUAAUCUACCUAUAACUUCUUUAUUGUCUCUAUGCACACUCUUAUGCUCAGCAAUGCUUUUCGACUUGAGGGCAUACAAAUAAAAUCAGGGUGCCUAAGCAUAUAGCAAGAUAGUAGUCCAAGGAUAUUUACCACUAUGUAAAACUUCUGGCCUUAUGAUUGCAAUGACAGCAUUUACGACAGCUGAGGUACAUUACAUUAAAGCCUCACAGCAACUAAGUAUGACUUUGAGAUUUGUGAUUUUCAUGUUUAUUUUUCACUGACAUGUUCUUAAGUAGCACAUUCCCUUUCUUAGUUUUUUGGGGCUUUUGUUUUGCGCAGCACAAGUUUUGAUGAUAACAUGAACGGUUUGUCAGGGCAUUAAAUUGACCAAUGUUACUGCUCAAGAGUCUGACAAUCACAUUCCACAGCUCCUGAAAAGAGCAGGGGAGCUUGACCAAAACAUUUUUUUUUUAAGCGUGAUUUAAUGUGACAUUUGUGUUUUUUUUUCUUAAUACAGUUGUUACAUAUUGCUGUAUUGUUUUUGUUUUUUUUACAACUUUGUGUCCAUUUAAUGUCUUUUUUUUUUAAAGAUUCUUUUAUUUCCAUGUUUAACCAGACACUUUGUUGUUUGUGUAGCGCUAAGCCUAUGCAAAACACACUAUCUGUAGUCUCUCUCCCAAUGUCACAGAAGUGGGCAGUUUGGAUGAAUGUUUUAAACAUUGUACCCUUGACUCAACAACAGCAAUAAAGACAUUGAGGUAUUUCA